GUAAUUUGACAAAUUUACAUGUAAACAUUAAGGAGUGAGGAAGUUAAAACGAUACCAAUCGAGUUUUAGAGCUUUGGUGACCAUUUUAAAAGAAUAUAUGAUAAAUUCAAAGGUAAGUCUAUCGUAUUGCAUUGUCUUAAAUGAAUUCUCAGCUAAAAUACGGCAAUAAAUGGAUCAUAAACUUAGCUAAUGACAGGUCCAUUGCUUUUUUGCCUUGAAUAGCUUUACCAUGUAGUCAUUUUACCUUAAAAUGUGGCUACCGAGGAUAUCUCUAAGAGAUUUUACACAGAUUAUUUGCAAAAUCUCACGAUUUAAUCAUGCUGAUAACAUGAAAAUCCUUGUGCCAUUCUAUACUUGGCAUAAUCUCUACAUCAAUAGUUCACCAGUUCACUAAUAUAAAUUCAAUAUAUUUUUGAACCAGUCCAUAUAUUAUUAUACACAAUGUAGUAUAGUUAAUUUGACCAUAUUUGAGAAGUAAGGGUGUAUUUCAUUACACAGACACUGCUGAAUUUUAGGUUACAUGCCAUUGGGUUGAUAUAUAAAAAACACUUGUAAAACACACACAUUAUCUUGUUGAUAGAAUAGUUAUUUGCAGACAGUAUACUAACUGUUGGCAUACUCUAUUUCAGGGCUAUCAAUUGUUUUUGUCACUGGCAGUCUUUGAAAUACAAUCUUGCUCUGUGGCCUUUACUGACAAGUUGGCUUUUACUACAUAUGUGGCACUGACACUUCUUUAAUUAAUGCACCAGUCAGUGUAAACCCCCCAACCAGGGAGGGGCAGGGAUUUUGACUUGGAGGGGUAGUAAAAAAGCGAAAUUGUCCCCGCCCCCAGGGACGUCAAUGUCCCCUGCAUGUCUCUUAACCCCAGGAAAAUAGUUUUGUAUAAUCAUAGAAUAGAAUAGAAAAGAUCAGCAAUAGAAAAUCAAAUUCAUUUAUGUUGUUGUAUUUAAACUUUUCUUGUCAAGAAAACUAAAACAGCAACACAGGAUAUAUAUAUUAACCACUGUCCAAGUCUCCCAUCAUCGGGGACAAAUUUAUAAUCAAAACUGACCACUUUCCCCGUUAAACCUUCCGCCCCUCCCCGGUUGGGGGCAGGGAUUUACAUUGACUGGUGCAUAACUAGAUGAUUGCAUGAAGCAUUGCAUGGAAGUUGAUUUAUAAUUAGUUUAUGAAUAAACUCGCACUUUCAUUAUAAUGGUUGAUCAAAUAUAUCAUAUGCAUUUGAUUGGGUGAUGGUCCCUUAAUGGUAAUGGUGGUCAAAUCUGAACCUAUAUAAUGUCAAUAUGAUUUGAACCUAUAUAAUGUCAAUAUACUGGAAAAGUAUCAAAUUAAAUUUUAAUUGUCAAUGUUGUGGAAAGUAAAUAAAUCAAACAAUUCUGUUUGUUUCAACUAACUAGUUCACUAUCACUUUGGUUUUCAAAUCAAAGAAUCUUUAACCUGGUUG
rnacentral:lncRNA from 1 species